rnacentral:rRNA from 1 species
AUUGAACGCUGGCGGCAUGCUUUACACAUGCAAGUCGAACGGCAGCGCGGGCUUCGGCCUGGCGGCGAGUGGCGAGCGGGUGAGUAAUACAUCGGAACGUGCCCAGUAGUGGGGGAUAGCUCGGCGAAAGCCGGAUUAAUACCGCAUACGACCUGAGGGUGAAAGCGGGGGAUCUUCGGACCUCGCGCUAUUGGAGCGGCCGAUGGCAGAUUAGCUAGUUGGUGGGGUAAAGGCCUACCAAGGCGACGAUCUGUAGCUGGUCUGAGAGGACGACCAGCCACACUGGGACUGAGGCACGGCCCAGACUCCUACGGGAGGCAGCAGUGGGGAAUUUUGGACAAUGGGCGAAAGCCUGAUCCAGCAAUGCCGCGUGUGUGAUGAAGGCCUUCGGGUUGUAAAGCACUUUUGGCGGGAACGAAAAGGACUGUGCCAAUACCACAGUUCGAUGACGGUACCCGCAGAAUAAGCACCGGCUAACUACGUG